rnacentral:rRNA from 1 species
GACGAACGCUGGCGGCGUGCCUAACACAUGCAAGUCGAACGGUUCUAUACUACCUUGUUCUUCUACUCCAUUGGCAAGCGGGGUGGUGGCCGGGGUAGAACCUCGUCGGUAAUCUAGACAUCGGAGGGGGAUAACACUUUAAAACAGGUUCUAAUACCGCCUAACAGUUUAUGCCGCAUGGCAUAAGAGCGUACGGGGCUUUCGGCGCUCGCUGAUGGCUGGAUCGAUGGUGCAUUAGAUAGCUGGUGAGGUAACGGCUCACCAAGGCAACGAUCGAUAGCCGACCGGAGAGGGUGAUAGGCCACACGGGAAGUGAGACACGGCCCAGACGCCUACGGGAGGCAGCAGUAGGGAAUGGUCGGCAAUGGACGAAAGUCUGACCCAGCAACGCCGCGUGUGUGAAGAAGGUUUUCGGAUCGUAAAGCUCUGUUGUUGGAGAAGAACAAGUACGUGAGUAAAUGAACCUCCCCUGACGGUACCUAAAGAAGAAGCAACGGCUAACUACGUG